rnacentral:rRNA from 1 species
UGGGGAAUAUUGGACAAUGGGCGAAAGCCUGAUCCAGCAAUGCCGCGUGAGUGAGGAAGGCCUUAGGGUUGUAAAGCUCUUUCGGCGGGGACGAUGAUGACGGUACCCGCAGAAGAAGCCCCGGCUAACUUCGUGCCAGCAGCCGCGGUAAUACGAAGGGGGCGAGCGUUGUUCGGAUUUACUGGGCGUAAAGGGCGCGCAGGCGGCUCCGUUUGUCAGGCGUGAAAGCCCCGGGCUCAACCUGGGAAUGGCGCUUGGGACGGCGGAGCUAGAGUUCGGGAGAGGAGAGUGGAAUUCCCAGUGUAGAGGUGAAAUUCGUAGAUAUUGGGAAGAACACCGGUGGCGAAGGCGGCUCUCUGGACCGAUACUGACGCUGAGGCGCGAAAGCGUGGGGAGCAAACAGGAUUAGAUACCCCCGUAGUCC